rnacentral:rRNA from 1 species
GCGGUAUCCUGACCGUGCAAAGGUAGCAUAAUCAUUUGCCUCUUAAUUAGUGGCUAGUAUGAAUGGACAAACGAGAAUUCCCCUGUCUCUAUAAAGCCAAUGAAAAUUAAUCUUCAGGUGAAGAAGCCUGAAUCUCAUUAAAAGACAAAAAGACCCUAUUGAGCUUACAUUCAAUCUCUAAAAUAUUAAAAUAAAAUAAAACUACCCUUUUUACAAGAAUUUUGCUGGGGCGGCAAAGGAACAACCAAAAAUUCCUUUUCUCAAAGACUUAUAAGUCUAUUAACUGAUCCGUAUUAACGAUUAACAAAACUAGUUACCAUAGGGAUAACAGGCUAAUUUUUCUCUAAAGCUCACAUUAACAGAAAAGAUUGGCACCUC